rnacentral:rRNA from 1 species
GGUUAAGCGACUAAGCGUACACGGUGGAUGCCCUGGCAGUCAGAGGCGAUGAAGGACGUGCUAAUCUGCGAUAAGCGCCGGUAAGGUGAUAUGAACCGUUAUAACCGGCGAUUUCCGAAUGGGGAAACCCAGUGUGACUCGUCACACUAUCAUUAACUGAAUCCAUAGGUUAAUGAGGCGAACCGGGGGAACUGAAACAUCUAAGUACCCCGAGGAAAAGAAAUCAACCGAGAUUCCCCCAGUAGCGGCGAGCGAACGGGGAGGAGCCCAGAGCCUGAAUCAGCAUGUGUGUUAGUGGAAGCGUCUGGAAAGGCGCGCGAUACAGGGUGACAGCCCCGUACACAAAAGCGCAUGUGCUGUGAGCUCGAUGAGUAGGGCGGGACACGUGGUAUCCUGUCUGAAUAUGGGGGGACCAUCCUCCAAGGCUAAAUACUCCUGACUGACCGAUAGUG